UCUUGCUACGGGCCUCAGUAGUCCGAGUCUGGAAUGCGUCACAAAUAGACCAGCCGACUCGUUCGUAUUCACGUGCAUUAUAUUCGGAUAAUUGAAAGAAAGAUGAUGAGGUGAUUGACAUCUUAUGCUAAUGCUGCGUCAAUUAUAUUCAGUUCCUGCUGGGCUGUUUACUUUCUAGGCGAGCAUUCGACUAGCUAGCGAUAGUUCUAACAAACAAUCUUCAGCUAUUUAUAGGGGUUAAUAAUGGAAAUACCACAAGGAAUUGAAUGUUGCAAUAUUAUAGUUAUCAAAGAAUGUCAGAUUUCUCCUGUUGGGAAACUCGUAUACUGUAAAUCCGACGGUACUUGAAAGAAACAUAACCCCUACUCCCCACUUUCGCUAGGACAGGUGAAUUCACCUGCCAGUCAAGGUGAUUUGGCUGGGGGAGGAGACGUACGUCAUCAGAUUUGAUGGUUUCUUUUCUCCCGCCUCGUGCGUUGGUUGUUUAAUGAAACUAUCCAAUUCAGUCAAACUGAGUGGGCUAGAAGUCCACCUUAAAUAUGUUCGUCAUGCGUUAACAUAUAAUGUAUAUGUUGAUAAGUGCAGAUGAGUUUUUACUGUGAAUAAAAAUGUUUUUGACGCAGUUAUGCUGUCUUGCUUUUUUACAAUGUUUGAUAGCAAGCCAACUAACGUUAGGUCGGCCAUUGCGGUGCGCUACCUAGCUAGCUAACGUUAGAUGCGAGUAAAGCUACGCAGACAGCUAGCAAACAUUUUUUGAAUAGUCGUACUUUAAUUUUUGCACAAUCAAUUGAGGUCGGUAGGCUGUCCGAUCAUUUCUGAUGUUAAAAUGGCCUAAUCUGACUGGAAUAAAGACGGAAUAGGUUGUUACUACUAGUUUAUAUCGUGUGUGGUUGUGAGCAGUGUUUGAUAAAUUAUGCUAGUGUUGUGCUUGCUAGGUAGCCUUCCUUAGUUAUCGGUACGUACUGUCUCAAUGUGUGCCAAUCAAGUAACAAACUGAACUCAAUGUGAAAUUCACCUCCGUGUGUAAUUAAACUUAACUUUUUUUUUCCAGCACAGUAAACUUCACAAAUGAGGAGAAACGAUCUGCUUCACCGGCCCAAGGGCACCGAAUUCAUGUUAACGCUGACGUGAGGGGAACCCAGCGUGGUCUUCUGCUGCUGUAGCCCGUUCGAGUGAAGGUUUGACGCAUUCUGCGUUCCAAGAUGCCCGUCUGUACACCAAUGAAUAUCCUCUCCUGAAUGAUCCCUCCUUUGAGUAGAGGAGGAGAGGAAAAGAGGGAAGGAAGGAAGGAAGGGGUGUCGAGAGCCAAUCAGACAGCAGCGGUGAGAAAAGAGAGCGUUUGACUCGCUGUCCUCCUGAC